GUCUACGGCCGUGCCACCCUGAAAAAGCCCUAUCCCAUCUGAUCUUGGAAGCUAAGCAGGGUCAGGCCUGGUUAGUACUUGGAUGGGAGACCACCUAGGAAGACCAGGUGCUGUAGGCA
rfam:Pteropus alecto contig53689, whole genome shotgun sequence.